rnacentral:rRNA from 1 species
AGUGAACGCUGGCGGUAGGCCUAACACAUGCAAGUCGAACGGCAGCACAGUAAGAGCUUGCUCUUACGGGUGGCGAGUGGCGGACGGGUGAGGAAUACAUCGGAAUCUACUUUUUCGUGGGGGAUAACGUAGGGAAACUUACGCUAAUACCGCAUACGACCUACGGGUGAAAGCAGGGGAUCUUCGGACCUUGCGCGAUUGAAUGAGCCGAUGUCGGAUUAGCUAGUUGGCGGGGUAAAGGCCCACCAAGGCGACGAUCCGUAGCUGGUCUGAGAGGAUGAUCAGCCACACUGGAACUGAGACACGGUCCAGACUCCUACGGGAGGCAGCAGUGGGGAAUAUUGGACAAAGGGCGCAAGCCUGAUCCAGCCAUACCGCGUGGGUGAAGAAGGCCCUCGGGUUGUAAAGCCCUUUUGUUGGGAAAGAAAAGCAGCAGGUUAAUACCCCGCUGUUCUGACGGUACCCAAAGAAUAAGCACCGGCUAACUUCGUG